AUAAAUGUCACAGUUGUUCUCAUAAGGUGAGUACAACUACCCUGCAGAGAAGUCAUCAAAGGCCAUCAGCUCUGUAUACAACUGUAUCAUUAGCCUAGGCAGGAACAAGCAAUCUGCAUACUGCUUGAAAGCCAGGGAACGGCUGUUCGAAACACUUCAUUACAUAUCAGCUACAACAAACAUUAAAUGGGCCGCUUCCACAGAUGCUGGAGAACUACAAAAUGAAAUAUGAACAAAUUGACCUUUGGCCUCCUGUGCAACAUUCUAUUUGGGUUCUAGAAGAAAGCUUUUCCUUAUGUCCUCUGGAGAGCCACAGAAUCACUGACAGAAAUUUCUGGAUUUUAAUUGCACUCAUGGAGACUCCAGGAGUUGUCAGUUUCUGAAGAUUGAUAAUGG